UAAGUACUUCUUCUGUCCGAAAUUACUUGUCGCGAAAAUGGAUGUAUCUAGACGUAUUUUGGUUCUAGAUAUACAUAUUUCUACCCAUUUUGGCCACAAGUAAUUUCGAAUGGAGAGAGUACUAA
rfam:Hordeum vulgare subsp. vulgare, WGS project CAJW01000000 data, contig: morex_contig_1558314